GUUUUGAAACACAUUGAAAUCGUCCCCCUCGAAUCUUAUUGGCUCUCUUGUUGAAACAGGCCCUGAAGAUUUAUGUUAUACAACGUUUGACAUGUUUUAACGAACCUAAAUGGGAAAAAAUUGUUUUUUUCCGACACGGCUGUCCCGCGGCCGGCAGAGCUUUUGGAUACUGCCUUCAGACGCGCUAACAACAGCAAGCUAAUGGAACAUAAAGGAUGGACUUUUUCGACCGAAAAUACAUCUGUUGUGGACCUGGGAUUCCUGGAAGUGCUUUCUGAUGAAGACAACUAAAGAGGACUUCACACUCACUCAGAGGCAGAGCCAGUAUGAUAUCUCACCUUGCAGCUUCUGCCUGAGAGAACCGAUGGGGCCAGACACAUACUGAUUGUGUUGUGCCAACGAGAAAAAAGGUAAUUUGUUCACCCUUCACACAAAUCAAGAAUGACAUUGCAACAAAAUAGGACAGUGUGGGGGGAGGUCAGUCUGUGUACUUAGCAUUUAUAAGAUUUGGCCAAACAGGCAGGGGCCAU
rnacentral:lncRNA from 1 species